AGUCGGCGGACGGGUGAGUAACGCGUAGGUAUCUAUCCUCGGUGGGGGGACAACCNCGGGAAACUGUGGCUAAUACCGCAUGAUGACUGAGGUCUAAAGGCGCGAAGUCGCCUGAGGAGGAGCCUGCGUCCGAUUAGCUAGUUGUGGGGUAAAAGCCUACCCAAGGCUCCGAUCGGUAGCUGGUCUGAGAGGACUGAUCAGCCACACUGGGACUGAGACACGGCCCAGACUCCUACGGGAGGCAGCAGUGGGGAAUAUUGGACAAUGGGCGCAAGCCUGAUCCAGCAAUGCCGCGUGGGUGAAGAAGGUCUUCGGAUUGUAAAGCCCUUUCGACGGGGACGAUGAUGACGGUACCGGAGAAGAAGCCCCGGCUAACUUCGUG
rnacentral:rRNA from 1 species